CAGUAGCCGCGGGAAUACGAAGGGGGCUAGCGUUGCUCGGAAUCACUGGGCGUAAAGGGUGCGUAGGCGGGUCUUUAAGUCAGGGGUGAAAUCCUGGAGCUCAACUCCAGAACUGCCUUUGAUACUGAAGAUCUUGAGUUCGGGAGAGGUGAGUGGAACUGCGAGUGUAGAGGUGAAAUUCGUAGAUAUUCGCAAGAACACCAGUGGCGAAGGCGGCUCACUGGCCCGAUACUGACGCUGAGGCACGAAAGCGUGGGGAGCAAACAGGAUUAGAUACCCCGGUAGUCCCUGUCUCUUAUAA
rnacentral:rRNA from 1 species